ensembl:lncRNA
GGAGUUAUGAAACAGAAGGAGGUGUCCUGUUUCUUGUAUGGAAAGCAAGAGGAGGCAGAACGAAACACUCAAAGAUGCUGUUUUGCCUUCAGAGCGUAUCCUCGGGCAGGAGACAACACUGCUACAAACUGGCUCAGGGGUCAAGGGACAGGAGUACAGACACAACAUUUACUUUACAUCAAAAAUACUAAAUCUAUGAAGUGAGUUGCUCAGCAAUGAAAGCAGUGCAAAGACGUUUGCUGUGAUGGUGUUGAAGAUGCAAAAGAAUGCUGUGAGCCAGGGGUUGGAAGAAAGCCAGAGCGAGUGCAUGGACCAACUGUUGUACCUUGGAAGGCCCAAGUGGAUCCAGCUGAUUACCCUCUCCCACCACAGAAAACUUACAGGGGAGCUUCUGUUUUCUCCCAACCUGUAUCCCCCUUUUACAGGCGACAUCAUCAGAAAAUCAGAAACAUAUUUGCGCAUGUUGGCGACAGAAGUGGCACAUCACCCCGGCUGUCAAACCAGGUACCAAGCAUUCAAACAUUCAAUUCAAACCGUUUUUCUACAACAUUUUUCGGGUUGUUUCACUUUCGGUUGUCAGAUUCUAAAUUCCAAAAGAAGCCUACAGAAUCCGGAUGAGGUCUCGACUGCUCCAGGGUAGCAGCAGGUGUUUCAAUUAAUCCGGUGACCCAGUCAAAUGGAGACUCUCCGCCGAUUGCGGCCAUAGUCACUCGUAGUGACUGGUGUAAAUGGUUGGCUGAGAUUACAAACACAGGUGCGGGUGUGAUAAAAAAUUGAGAGCUCUCAGAGCGUGGAAGUACCAAGCAGAAUCCCCGGUGCUGCUACCGGACUGCUGCAGAGAUCCAAGGAGGUGUGAGGAGUUCUACAACGCCUGGAUCGGCAACGUAGUUGCUAGACAGUAUUACAGCCUCUGGAUACUUCUUCCACCACUGGUUUUGACAUCUUGUAAGACGGGCGACUCAACCUUUCCAGUUAGCUGAUUGGGGACCAGCUGGCUGUACAGUUCUCAGGUUAGAAAUCAGAGCGACUUUGUCUUUCUAUCUGUUUCUCAUAUGUUUGCCUGUUUAUAUGUUCAAUGUUUCACUUGUUGGCUUCGGGCUUCAAAUUGGAUUUGUGAAUAAGAAAAGUCUGAGGAGAUUCAUUUGACAUAAAGACACAAUCCCGCACAACAGAAGCACAUUAAAACCUUGUGAAGCCAUUUGGUCGUCAUUGCACAUUCCACCGGAGUUCUCUGGCUCGGGGGGGAGGGACCCUGACACACCCUGUGGGAACGGAGGGAGGGAGGAGGCGUGUAAGUCUGCCCCCACGCUAAUGCUUUGGUUCAUGACUGAAACGUUUUUCCUCAUCUGAACUGAGGAGGAGCCUAAUGUGCAGGGUUGGUCUGUUUGGGGUAAGUGGACUGUACAUGUGUCCUCCGACCACUCAAAGCACUUUAACACUACCGAACACACUUGUGACAGGGCCCAUCAGGUAAUUUGGGGUUGAGUGUCUUUCCCCAAGGACAUGGACUAGCGGUGCCAGGGUUCGAACCACUGGUCCUCUGAUUGAAGGACACUACUCUACUGCUGAGUCUUGCCAACUCAAACAACUCAAAUACCACUAACAAUAAGAUGUUACUUUUGACAUGGUGAAAAGCUAAAGCAACUUUAUGACGAAAAAGCCGUGAGCAGAAGCCUUUUAUCAGUUAAUCUACCUUUUAUUUAUUACACUUGUCCGCAACAAGAAACAAUAUACAUGUAUAUGAUACAACACAUACCACAAGAAUUCCAUAUAAAUACUAUAUGCACACUCUUGUGUCUGGAGCUUGAUGUUCUGCCCCAAGUUACCAAAAGCGCCAAAAUGACUUUGUAGGAAGUUAGAGUUUAAUGGCAGUGUACCAAGCAAAACCAGCUUGUGUUCAUUUCCUGGUAUGACCUGUUGGUGAAUCUGCUUUUUCCAUUCUGAGGAGACAGACGGGGGAUGGGAGUGUGUGGUGUGUACAUGUCUGACUGAACGAGCAAAAAGAAGAGAGGACGGAGAAAAAGUCCAACACAGACAAAGUGGAGAAAAGGAGUGAGAGAGACGGAUCUUCUGCCCAGAAUGAACAUCGGUCGUCAUCCAAAGGCAGCCAAUCUGAGACCUACUCCCCUGCCUCACACACACACACACAGCGGCUCCACAUCAAUGGCUGAGGAACUUUUCUUUUUGGUCAAAGCUCCUCCCACUCUUCCUCCCUCUUUCUGAGGUUGAUACAGUCCAGACCAGCAGAGAACCCACCCAGACACACACCUCCCUUUUGUGAUCGCUAUUUCUCUCUCAUAUUUUAACAUUAACUAUCAUGCUGAGCCCUGUGUAAAAAAUAUGAAAAAUAAACAGUGUCCUGAGGCUACGAGCAGGGGGAGAUUUCCGUUUUUUUCAAUUGCUAAAAAGCAUUGCUGAAACCAUACUUUUAAACCUCUUCACAUAUUCUUCAUUAUCAAUAUUAAUUUGGGCCAAACAGUUAAUGAAACCUCCAAAACAACUAAUUUGUUUUCGUGCACAUCUGAAAGGUUUCAGCCUCUCCCUCCUCUCUGAGCCAAACGUUGGGUCCUAAAACACAACAGUUACUGUAUUGUAACAGGUUUCAACAUUUAGACUAUGUAUUGUACUGUAAUAUGUAUCAUCUCACUUGUUUUGCUGGAAAAUUUGUACUAUUGACGCAACUGUUGAGCAGUGCAGAUUUGGUUGCACCCUUUGACCGGCCUCUCAAAGUGAGACCAGUGAGACCAGUGAGACACAGAAUUGUCUGCUGUGAUCCAUAUUUCUAAACAAAAUCAGUUCCAAGCUAUUGGCUUUUACUGAAACAUGGUGAUGAGAGUAAAGCAGGACACCUGGAUCAGCUUUGAGCUAAAAUUGCAAUUAGCUUGGACUGAUUUUUCUUUCUAUUUUCUAUAUUUCUAAAAUAAUUACUGCAGAAUUUUUUGAAAUUUGUCAUCAUUCUGAUUUGAAUGUGUUUUUAUCAGUUGAUUUUGAAAACUGUGGUAAUUGAAUGCAUUUUGUCUGAAAGCAAUGAAAAAGGAUUUUUGACCAGCAAUUGUUGAUAAAAAUGUUUGUUUGUUUUUUGGUAAGGUUCAGGAAACAGGUGGCAUUAAACUAGCAGAGGUAAAAAAGGACCAAUAGCACUGAUUUAUGAGGAAGAACAAAAUUAUGAAUAAAUUAUACUGUAUUAUAACUAAUUCUAUCAAAUUGGUCAAGUCCAAGUGUUAGAAAAUCAAGUUAGAGAAUCAGAGUAGUAAAACAGAUAGACCAAGGAGACAAAGGAGGUAGAAGGAAAGGUCUUUUCCUCGGCACCAAGGCGCCACAGCAAAUUCAUCCGACAGGGAGCAGGACAGGGAUCCAACGUCAACUCAAACUGAAAGUCACGAGCCAUUAAAACUAACAAUGCAGGGCAGCGAUGAACACACAAGGUUGGACAAAGACAACGUGGCCCCAGAACAGAGAAAGCAGGGCCGUACAGAUAUUCUUAAUGAUGAUAAGCACCACGGCGCUCUAUUCACCUCUCUCCCCCUCUCUCUCGCUCCCUCGCUCCCUCUCUCUCUGCCUGCCUGUGCCUGCAUCCAGCAUACCUGAAGUUCCAGUCCAUUUCUUCGAAGAGUCUCC